AACGAACGCUGGCGGCAGGCUUAACACAUGCAAGUCGAGCGAGACCUUCGGGUCUUUCGGCGGACGGGGGAGUAACGCGUGGGAAGGUGCCCUUCUCUACGCAAUAGCCCCGUGAAACAGGGCGUAAUAACACAUACGCCCUUUCGGGGAAAGAUUUAUCGGUGCAGGGUCGGGCCGGGUAGGAUUAGGUGGUUGGUGGGGUAAUGGCCCACCAAGCCGACGAUGCAUAGCUGGUUGGGGAGGAUGAUCAGCCACACUGGGACUGAGACACGGCCCAGACUGCGACGGGAGGCAGCAGUGGGGAAUCGUAGACGAGGGGGGCAACCCUGAUCUAGCCAUGCCGGGUGAGUGAUGAAGGCCUUAGGGUUGUAAAGCCCUUUCAGCUGGGAAGAUAAUGACGGUACCAGCAGAAGAAGCCCCGGCUAACUCCGUG
rnacentral:rRNA from 1 species